rnacentral:lncRNA from 1 species
AUGGAGCGGGCCUCGCCCCUGAGCCCCGCAGCCCGUGCUUUGCGCCCCGCCCCCGCCCCCAGCAGAGCGCUGGGGGUCCAGCGGCCAGCCCCGCCCGCGUUUGUCCGGGGCGCUCUAGGGCCUCGGUCUCCUGGAGACGCAAGCGGAACACUGCUGAUGCUCAGUGCCGCGGCCGCGUCUGGACACCGACCUUGUAGCUGCUCCUCCCGCUCUCUUGAUUGGCCCCUCCCUCCGACUCACCACUGCUCCCCUGCGGCCCCAGGACCCUGGCUCUUAGUGUCUCACCCUAUCCCUAACCCGCCCCCCAGCGACCCCGCAGCCGCUCUCCACCCACCCGGACGAAGCCCUGGAUAUGCGGGCGUCGCCUCCCCCAACCCGGCAAGUGCUGGGCCGCGAAGUCUCCAUCGAAGGCCUCCGCGGGUCAGCACGGAAGUCCUCCCAGCUGGUGCUGCCUGCCCUGGGGCGAAGAAAAAAAAAAGGCCCGCAGAAAUGAGGAGUUCACCACCUCUUCUCCAAGAUGAAGCCCUUGAAAAAUGGUGUGGCCCCAGACGGGAUCUCCACCUUCAAGAUCAUCACCUGGACCAGAGGAUUACAACUCACUCACCACAUCCAGCUUCACCUAGAGGCUUCCCAGGUACAAGAAGACUGCCACAGAGCUGGAAGAUGCUCUGGACCAAGCUAGAACAGCCCUACAGAAAAUGUAGGAACUGCUUCUUUUUAAAAAGACUGCUUUUUUCUUAAUACAUCUGUAAAGGUUUUUAAUUUGUCUCAUCUCUGGUCAAGUUGAGAUUUUUAAGAAUAUCAUUUUUAAUUUGUAAUAAAACUUUAAACUUGAUUUUUUUUUUCAAAAAGUCAAAAAAGUGCAAGCACCUGUUAAGAAAAAUUUUAAUAAAAAAAGAAAGUUUACCCAGACCUCAGACCCUCUGCCACUCCUUCCUUGAAUAACUGUUUAAAGCUAUCUUUCAAAGUUUCCAGAUAUAUGAACUUUUUUCCUUCAUAUCUUCCAUGAUUGAUUUCCAAUCCAAUCGCAUUUGUGGUCAAACAGUGAGGCUGCAUGACACCAAUCACUUGAAACUUUUCAGCUACCUUUAUGACCUUGCCCUGGCAAGUGUCAUAAAUGUUUUACAUGGCUUCAAAAGCAUUCUGCUCUCCAGUGCUGGGCGCAGUGGUCCAUGCCUACCCAUCAGCUCGGGCUCAUUCGCUGUGCUGUCACUUCUUCUACACCCCUGCCACAAUGUUUUUCCUACCUGAUAUAGUAACAGCUGAGGCAAGAGUGGUACAAUAUCACAGCUUAUUUGUUCAUUUCUCAUAAUUCUGUGACGUUCUGCUUUACGCAUUUUGGAACCACGAUUUAGCUGUAUGUCAGUUCAGAGCUGUUAUCUUUUUCUAGUGAAAUAAACAUUUUAAACUCGUAGCAAUU